rnacentral:hammerhead_ribozyme from 1 species
UUCUGGCUGACGAGUCCCGAAUAGGACGAAACGCGCGUCCUGAA